AUAUUUUUUGCCCUGGGCUUUGAGAUACUGCUUCAACUUGAGCUUUUGGGGAACUAAUUAGUGUUUCAACAAUGAAGAGACCAAGAUGAUUAAAAUUGUAAGUUGCCUAUGCAUGGAUUUAGAAAGCAAAAAAGGAGACCAAGGACUUAGCUUAAAGCUAUUCUUUCUAUAAACCUUGUCUGGCUCAAUCUCUUGUUCAUUCACCGCCUCCCCCACCAUGUUCCCUAAUAUUGAUAUACUAAGCUUACAGGGUCAAGUGUUGAAUUUGUGCUCUGCUCCUCCUUUUCCUCUUCCUCCUCCUCCUCUGUGCUAUAUUCUUCCAUGAUGUCUCCGUCAACAAAAUGGAUAAUCCUUUUAGGAGUAGUCUUUUUGGAAGGUACACUCUUCUCUAGGUCUAACUGCUGGAAACCGUCAAUCUCCAUAAUGAAACAAAACAACUAGAAAAUUAAAAACAGGGCACCUUAGGGCAAGUUACCCAGAGCUGAGAGUUAUCUAGUUAUUUUCAAUGGAUAGUAAAGACAGAGAACUCAGAGGUAAUCACACCUGUGACCUCAUCGAUUCCUCAAAUCCAAAAAAGGACUGUUCUAUUCUGUACCAAAAUGGAAGAGAUUUGAUAAAUAGCGAAAACGUGAACUUACAGUCUUCAAACAAAAGUGUCAACAGGGUUUUCUUACCUUUUGUUAACGUUAAAACACACAAUUGCUAGUAGGAAGGGGUCACUAUCCUGCAGACGUUUCUCAAUUAUUUCAAUAAAUAUUGAGAAGCAAUGAAGGAAAUGGUUAAGAGUACAGACUUCACACAGACAGGAGAAAACAUGUGCAAAGUAUAUAUUUGGUAAAGGACUUAUUUUCAGAACAUGUAAAGAGCGAUUACAAUUCAACAGGUAAAAGGCAAAUAAC
rnacentral:lncRNA from 1 species